CAUUGUGCUCUCCAGAAAGGCUGCACUUGGUCACAGUUUCGUUAGCAUGGCAUUCGAAUGCGGCCUCCUUGGAUUCUGGCCAGCACUGGGCACUGCUGCUGUCUUCGAGCCACUAGGUGCACUUCCUUUCUCCUCGCUGUGUUUCCACUGAGUUGUGUUGGUCCUCCCUCUGGAUUCAUUCUCCUGUGUACCGGAGAGAUGUGCUUCUCUUGCUAGCUGGACUGAAGCACCAUGAGGAAGAGACCUUGCUUUAUUUAUCCAACCUGAGAUGCAGAAGACAGAAAUUCUUCCACACCUGUGCCUUACAGUUCUCAAUCUGGGGCAUGGCUUUGAAGAGAAGGUUGCUAAGCCUCCUCAACCCCAAUGCACACCAAUGCCAUUUCCCCACUCAUCUGGAAACCUGGUGGGUCCUGGCCAAACGCCUGUAUGUCAAUUCCACCUCCAACUUGGCUGCCUACCAUGCCAACAUUUUCAUCUCAAGCCUUUCAGAUCUGCUUUGGGCACCCGAAGACAGAGUGAAUCAUCUUUCAAGGGUCAGACACUUAGCACAUGCCCUUCCCUCUGCUUAGAAUGCUUUUCCCUCUUUCCCAAUUGCCUUUUAUUAUCAGCCUAA
rnacentral:lncRNA from 13 species